GUUAAAAAGCUCGUAGUUGAAUUUCUGCUACAUUGCCUAUUCUCCUUUACGAGUUUGGGUCUUUUGUGGCUUAUCUGGGUUCGCGUUGCGUUCCCGGUGUUUUACUUUGAGAAAAUUAGAGUGCUCAAAGCAGGCUUUUGCCUUGAAUAGUUUAGCAUGGAAUAAUAAAGUAGGACUUUGGUUCUAUUUUGUUGGNUUUAGGUACCAAAGUAAUGGUUAAUAGGAACAGUUGGGGGCAUUCGUAUUUAACUGUCAGAGGUGAAAUUCUUAGAUUUGUUAAAGACAAACUACUGCGAAAGA
rnacentral:rRNA from 1 species